UUUAAUCUAUAUAAUAAAAUACUCAUGUCUUAAGAUGACAAGAAUAGUAAAUACGAUCUGUAAAUACAAAAUAUUUCCUAUUUUAUUAAAAACUCAGCGCUUUUGAUAUGUAGGCCGAACAAAUGCAUGAAGAAGCUGUUGGGAGCCCCACAGCAAAAGCAGUAUCAUGGAUACGACACCCUGCAUGGACCUGAUGCUUGCCCAGUCAUACAAAUGACAUACUGCAAAGUUAGCCCUUCGUUGAUCAAAGCCCAUUGAGGUAUGGAUUUUAUUAUAUUUAUUCAUUUUACAUUUGUUCAUAUUAAAUUUUGAAAAAGUUCCGCAAUCUUAUGUUUCGCUGCACAUGACAUUAUGAAAUUUUGAUAGUUAUGUUACGUGACAACGCGAUUUUUACCUUGACCAUCAUUCUUUGUUGCCUUGUGAUUAGAGUUCGUUUCUUUGGGUCGCCCCUCCCCCUGUUACAUUGAGUGCUAAACCCAUUUCUUUUUCUUGCGAACUGUACAUAUAUUUAAUCUCAUUGUUGUAGAGCUACUUCUUGUAAACUUUGGUAUGCACACAGAAAGCUCAGAUGGCAAAAUUAAGUUAAUGCUUCUUUGGAUGACAGUGUUAGGUAGAUCAGCAGGAUGUGGAUAGAAAGAGGAUGCUUGGAGACCCAUUAAACAAGUGACAAUGAUCAGUGCCAACUUCCUUGCCCAUUUAUAUAUUAGUUAGGGACAAGACAUAAGGAGUAGCCAACCCAUCUUGAGGACUGAGCUUGCUGCUGAGGAAUCAGGAGACAAACCAAAAGAAUAUAUAUAAUUAACACUUACAAACUUCAUAAAUAAAAGAUUGGAUUAGAGAAAAUUGCAUUGCACCGAGUAGCUUUCAAGAUUUCAUAUAUAGUGGUAGUAGCUUUUGCUUGUUCUCAUAUCAUCCACUACAACUAGGCUUUAAAGAAGUACCAAUGACAUCUUCAAGAUUCGCUCUCUCUUUUUUGUUCUCUUUUACUGUUUUGUAUCUGUAGCUCAAGGCGAAGCAAACACCAAUGAAUUUGUGGUGGGCUCUGCAGGGACUUCUGCAAAUGGAAGAGCUGGGUGUAGUAAGGAGAUUUCCGAGUGCAGAGAAGGAAACGAGGAGCCAGAAGAUAAUGUUUUUGUCAAUGAGGAUUAUAUCUACACCAACUCUUUUCCUUAGAUAAUUUAUCUCCUUGUAAUGUAAAUUUGCUUUCAAUGGAUCAUUUUGUAGCUGGAGUCCAAACACUAGUUUUUUGAAGUUUAGUGAGGUCAAAAGGUAAUCAUAUUGAAGCUUAGUUUGACAUUAUGUUCA